rnacentral:rRNA from 1 species
ACGCUGGCGGCGUGCUUAACACAUGCAAGUCGAACGAAGCGUCUUAGGUGCUUGCACUUGAGACGACUUAGUGGCGGACUGGUGAGUAACACGUAAGCAACCUGCCUAUUAGAGGGGAAUAACAGUGAGAAAUCAUUGCUAAUACCGCAUAUGCUCACAGCAACACAUGUUGCAGUGAGGAAAGGAGCAAUCCGCUAAUAGAUGGGCUUGCGUCUGAUUAGCUAGUUGGUGGGUAACGGCCUACCAAGGCGACGAUCAGUAGCCGGACUGAGAGGUUGAACGGCCACAUUGGGACUGAGAUACGGCCCAGACUCCUACGGGAGGCAGCAGUCGGGAAUAUUGCGCAAUGGAGGAAACUCUGACGCAGUGACGCCGCGUAUAGGAAGAAGGUUUUCGGAUUGUAAACUAUUGUCAUUAGGGAAGAUAAAAGACUGUACCUAAGGAGGAAGCCCCGGCUAACUAUGUG